AACGAACGCUGGCGGCAUGCCUAACACAUGCAAGUCGAACGAGACCUUCGGGUCUAGUGGCGCACGGGUGCGUAACGCGUGGGAACCUGCCCUUAGGCUCGGAAUAACUCCCCGAAAGGGGUGCUAAUACCGGAUAAUGUCUUCGGACCAAAGAUUUAUCGCCUUUGGAUGGGCCCGCGUUGGAUUAGCUAGUUGGUAGGGUAAAAGCCUACCAAGGCGACGAUCCAUAGCUGGGCUGAGAGGAUGAUCAGCCACACUGGGACUGAGACACGGCCCAGACUCCUACGGGAGGCAGCAGUGGGGAAUAUUGGACAAUGGGCGAAAGCCUGAUCCAGCAAUGCCGCGUGAGUGAUGAAGGCCGUAGGGUUGUAAAGCUCUUUUACCCGGGAUGAUAAUGACAGUACCGGGAGAAUAAGCACCGGCUAACUCCGUG
rnacentral:rRNA from 1 species